rnacentral:lncRNA from 1 species
AUCUGAAGAGCACGCUUAAAGGACUGCUCCUCAGACGUUUAAACGUUUUGAUCCAUGGUGUCGAUAUAUACAAUCACGCUUGAUUGUUCCCCAGGAACAACUGGAACAACAUCUUCAAUUUGGAUUUGGCAGUGGUUUAUUUGUCAUGGACUCCCGCCAGGCGAACUGAAUGGAGGAGGCUCUUGAUAUGCUGCUGCUGCUCUGCUCCACUGUUCAGGUGGAAAUGGUUGAAACCCAUGGUUGAAAAUGUAAAAAGCCAAGAAGAUUUGAUAAAGUCUGUACAGGGAAGGUCAAAGACAAGGAUUUAGUUAAUCUAGAUAUUGUUUUAUCUUCUUUGCCUCAAAACACCUUUAAAUGCUGACUCUACAUGCAUUCAAAAAGGUUCUGUAGAUUAAUUAAGUUGUCGUUCUUCCUAUGUUAUGUUGUCGUAUCCCGGAAGCAUGUCAUCGUAGCUACAUGGCCACAACAGAAGAACAGAUGUAUGUUCACAAGUGAAGCUCUGCUCCUAGUACUCAGCGACUGGAACAAUGGAGCAAAA